AUUACAAGUUCAGGUUUUACAAUAGUGACAAUAUCUUAAAAAAUGAUUUGUUGGAUUGGUUCUGUUUAAAACGACUAAGUACCCAGUUAGCAAUGUUUAAGAAGACAAGGAGUUAGGACAAUGAGCAUACACUAUGACACAGGGCAAAACAAACACAGCAGCUGCUUCACUCACAGAGAGCUGGUUGAUGUUUGUUCGUAUUGCUCUACCCCAGCAGGGUUCGUUCAUUCAUUUGGCUCUACCCGAGGAGGGUUCAUUUGGCUCUUCUUCCCGAGCUGGAAUUUGUUAACCUCUGGCUGGUACGGUAGUCGAUGACUAGUUUGGUAGUCCAUGGUAAGCUGCUGAGCUCUCUUCCCCCCCACUCCAAGCCGUGCCGGCUGUGUUGUAUCGGAGAUAGCCUCUCGCAGCUGCGUUGGGCGUGUCUCCCAUGUCUGUAGCCAUGGGGGGACAACAAACAUACAAUUACAGUAUGUACUGAUCUACAAUGGGAGUCACAAGCACACGUUUGAAAUAAGCACUUUGCUUUUAGAGUUCUACAGAGAGCGUUGUAAUGGAGUCUUUUUCCCCACAGGCGAUCAGCUGAGAGAGGCAGGGGUCGAGGAGCAGCGAGGAGUCAGAUGUCUGUCUGUGCAGAGGUUCCCGGUCGAACGGCGCCCUCGAAGGCACAGGCAAUCAGCAGAGAGGGACAGCGGUCGGGGAGCGGCGAAGAGUCAGACGUCCAUCCGUGGAGAGGUUCAUGGUCGAACGGCGCCUUGAAGACAGGAUAUUGACGCAUAAAUACGCAGGCAGACAGACAGACAGACAGUGGAGACGGAGAGACGGACAGACGCAGAUGGGCUGGCGUUCGGGCGGGCUGACGGACAGACGCAGAUAGGUUGGCGUUCUGGCGGGCUGACGGACAGACGCAGAUUGGCUGGCGUUCGGGCGGGCUGACGGACAGACGCAGAUAGGUUGGCGUUCUGGCGGGCUGACGGACAGACGCAGAUUGGCUGGUGUUCGGGCGGGCUGACGGACAGACGCAGAUGGGCUGGCGUUCGGGCGGGCUGACGGACAGACGCAGAUGGGCUGGCGUUCGGGCGGGCUGACGGACAGACGCAGAUGGGCUGGCGUUCGGGCGGGCUGACGGACAGACGCAGAUGGGCUGGCGUUCGGGCGGGCUGACGGACAGACGUAGAUGGGCUGGCGUUCAGGCGGGCUGACGGACAGACAAAGACAGCUUAAAGUUUUAAGUCAAUCAACAUCUUGCUACCAUGGAAAGGAAAAUACCUGUCUAUUUGUGGCAAAAUCACACUAAUGAACUCUUUAGUCAUAUUCCAGCACAUCAAUUUGCUUACGUCCCUGCCUAUACCUAACUAACUGUGAGCAAAAAAUAUUCAAUUUUAUCUGGAACAGCAAGCGAGACUAAAUUAAACAGGCCUAUUUAUACAAGUAAUAUGAAUUUGGAGGGCAGAAAUGAUUAAAUAUUAAAGCAUUAGACGGUAUAAUCUUUGUAAAUUACACUACCAUUCAAAAGUUUGGGGUCACUUAGAAAUGUCCUUGUUUUUUAAAGAAAAGCACAUUUUUUGUCCAUUAAAAUAGCGUCAAACUGAUCAGAAAUACAGUGGAGAUUUUGUUAAUGUUGUAAAUGACUAUUGUAGCUGGAAACGGCUGAUUUUGAAUGGAAUAUCUACAUAGGCGUACAGAGGCCCAUCAUCAGCAACCAUCACUCCUGUGUUCCAAUGGCAUGUUGUGUUAGCUAUUCCAAGUUUAUCAUUUUAAAAGGAUAAUCGAUCAUUAGAAAACCCUUUAGCACAGCUGAAAACUGUUGUGAUGAUUAAAGAAGCAAUAACACUGGCCUUCUUUAGACUAGUCUGGAGCAUCAGCAUUUGUGGGAUUGAUUACAGGCUCAAAAAGGCCAGAAACCAAGGAAUUUCUUCUGAAACUCGUCAGUCUAUUCUUGUUCUGAGAAAUUAAGGCUAUUCCAUGCGAGAAAUUGCUACUACUCCCCUCACAGAACAGCGCAAAUUGUCUCUAACCAGAAUAGAAAGAUGAGUGGGAGGCCCCGGUGCACAACUGAGCAAGAGGACAAGUACAUUAGAGUGUCCAGUUUGAGAAACAGACACCUCACACAUACUCAACUGGCAGCUUCAUGAAAUAGUACCCGCAAAACACCAGUCUCAACUUCAACAUUGAAUAGGCGACUCCGGGAUGCUGGCUUACUGCGUCCGUAAAAUGUAUGUACUGUAGGUUCGGAACUUUUGUAAAACAGCACAGUUGAAAAAUGUAUGGCAGCUAGAAAUCUAAACUGGACGGUCUUCAGAUAUUGAUGGGAGGGGUUGAGGUUAGCUGAUUGACGGGACUAAAAACAAAGAUAACUAUUUAUUUAUUAUUUAUUUAUUAUCCCAGCCUCAUUAACAUGUUUUAUUUUACCAUUAUUUUACCAGGUAAGUUGACUGAGAACAUAUUCUCAUUUACAGCAAUGACCUGGGAAAUAGUUACAGGGGAUAGGAGGGGGGACGAAUGAGCCAAUUGUAAGCAAAAUGAGCAAAUUGAAUGAGCCAAUUGUAUUGUAAAAUAUAUUGUGUCUGUAAAAUGUAUAUAGUAUGUAUAAGCUGGAACUGGAAGCCCAAGUGUUGCUGUCCAUUAGUUUACUCCAAUUAGGGGAGGGGUGGUAGGGUUAGGGGAAAAUAAUAACGGAAAAUAGGAUAUGCUGUCCCAGCUAGCACAAUGGAUCUGGGCCAAUUCCGGCUGAGAGUCGGGGCACUCGGCUGAGAGUCAUACUCGGCAGACCUCAUGUGGCCCGAGUCUGGGCUACCUUCGGCAGUAUUACAUAUGGCUAGGAUGCGGGGACUGCGCUCGGGCCGAUUCCGUUGUGAGUUAUCUGGCCCAAAUAUAUUACUUGAGGUUUGGCUGAUUGGGGCGACUCUCUGGCAGAUGAUGAGACGGGCUGCUUUAUAUAAUUAACAUUUCAUUAUUUAUUUUCCCCCUUAUUUUCUUCAUUGUUUCUGUGAUCAAAAAAUACAAUUAACAUUUAAAUUAAAUUCUUUGAGUCCUGUGUAAUAUUUUUGUAUUUUGAUUCUUUGUGCAAAGAAAUUGAUAAGCAUUAAAACUUUAUGGAUGGAACCUCCCGAGUGGUGCAGUAGUCUAGAAACUGUGUUUCUACAGAUGCUUGUUUGAGACCCGCGCUGCCCGCGACCGGGAGACCCAUGAGGCGACGCACAAUUGGCCCAGCGUCGUCCGAGUUAGUGGAGGGUUUUGCUGGCCGGGAUGUCCUUGUCCUAUAG